CAAAGGUUAAUUCCGGUGGCGGAUGGGCAUGCGUCGCAUUAGUUAGUUGGCGGUGUAACGGACCACCAAGACGACGAUGCGUAGGGGUUCUGAGAGGAAGGUCCCCCACACUGGUACUGAGACACGGACCAGACUCCUACGGGAGGCAGCAGUGAGGAAUAUUGGUCAAUGGGCGGGAGCCUGAACCAGCCAAGUCGCGUGAGGGAUGACGGCCCUAUGGGUUGUAAACCUCUUUUGCCGGGGAGCAAAGUGCCGCACGUGUGCGGUUUGGAGAGUACCCGGAGAAAAAGCAUCGGCUAACUCCGUGCCAGCAGCCGCGGUAAUACGGAGGAUGCGAGCGUUAUCCGGAUUUAUUGGGUUUAAAGGGUGCGUAGGCGGACGCUUAAGUCAGCGGUAAAAUUGCGGGGCUCAACCUCGUCGAGCCGUUGAAACUGGGUGCCUUGAGUGGGCGAGAAGUACGCGGAAUGCGUGGUGUAGCGGUGAAAUGCAUAGAUAUCACGCAGAACUCCGAUUGCGAAGGCAGCGUACCGGCGCCCAACUGACGCUGAAGCACGAAGGCGUGGGUACCGAACAGGAUUAGAUACCCUGGUAGUCCACGCAGUAAACGAUGAAUGCUAGUUGUCCGGGGCGAUUGAGUUCUGG
rnacentral:rRNA from 1 species